UAGUUGCCAUCAUUUAGUUGGGCACUCUAAGGUGACUGCCGGUGACAAACCGGAGGAAGGUGGGGAUGACGUCAAAUCAUCAUGCCCCUUAUGACCUGGGCUACACACGUGCUACAAUGGACGAUACAAACGGUUGCCAACUCGCGAGAGGGAGCUAAUCCGAUAAAGUCGUUCUCAGUUCGGAUUGUAGGCUGCAACUCGCCUACAUGAAGCCGGAAUCGCUAGUAAUCGCGGAUCAGCAUGCCGCGGUGAAUACGUUCCCGGGCCUUGUACACACCGCCCGUCACACCACGAGAGUUUGUAACACCCGAAGUCGGUGAGGUAACCUUUUGGAGCCAGCCGCCGAAGGUGGGAUAGAUGAUUGGGGUGAAGUCGUAACAAGGUAGCCGUAUCGGAAGGUGCGGCUGGAUCACCUCCUUUCUAAGGA
rnacentral:rRNA from 1 species